UACGGGGGGGGUAAGCGUUGUUCGGAAUUACUGGGCGUAAAGGGCUCGUAGGCGGCCAACUAAGUCAGACGUGAAAUCCCUCAGCUUAACUGGGGAACUGCGUCUGAUACUGGAUGGCUUGAAUUCGGGAGAGGGAUGCAGAAUUCCAGGUGUAGCGGUGAAAUGCGUAGAUAUCUGGAGGAAUACCGGUGGCGAAGGCGGCAUCCUGGACCGACAUUGACGCUGAACGGCGAAAGCUAGGGGAGCAAACGGG
rnacentral:rRNA from 1 species